rnacentral:rRNA from 1 species
UACGGAGGGUGCGAGCGUUGUUCGGAAUCACUGGGCGUAAAGCGCGUGUAGGCGGCCCACUAAGUCUGAUGUGAAAGCCCGGGGCUCACCCCCGGAAGUGCAUUGGAAACUGGUGGACUCGAGUCCCGGAGAGGAGAGUGGAAUUCUCGGUGUAGAGGUGAAAUUCGUAGAUAUCGAGAGGAACACCGGUGGCGAAGGCGGCCUUCUGGACAGUGACUGACGCUGAGACGCGAAAGCGUGGGGAGCAAACAGG